ACAGCUUCGUCUCCUGGCAGUCACCAUUCCGCUUGGGAGGGGCGCCGGGAUUGUCGUCGGAAAUAAAGCCGUGGGAAUCAUCUCUCAUAGAUGUAGAUGGAGGCGGCAGAGAAGAUGAUGGCGGAGCCUUUGAUAUUGAAAUGAGGCAAUCAGUUGUGCACUUUUUGACAUGAAUGGCAACCAAGUUCCCCAAAGUAUUGUUACUAAAGUUGGAGUUGCAUUUAAGAAAAAUCUUAAGGAGAUGGAUAAAAUGAGGAACGAUCAGAGCAAUGACAUAUCUGUCAAGUAAGCAAUAUCAAUUGUGAUGGACAGGAACCCAAAUUUAAGGCAAAAAGGCGUUUUAUAUGAAGUCUUACAAUGGUAUAUUUGUAGGAUGGAGGCUUGGUUUGUUGCUGAUGCAAAAGACAUAUUGCUGUAAGUAUGGGACCAAGGCUUUGAAGAGGAAAUUCAAAGACAGAAUGUCUGAAUUUCAGACUCUAAGAGAGAACAAUACGACAAGAUUAUCGGUGCAGUUAUUGAGAGACGUGUAUUUACAGGUAUUAAUACUUAUCUAGGAAAGGGUCGUUUACGAACACUUCAAAAUCUAUAAACAAUUUUGACAUUUUUAUGUUUGACAUAGUUUACAGUGACAAGAACUCGAUUUGAUGAAGAGUUGAAAGAUUGAUAGAGACAGGGGAUAAUGAGCAAAUUUUUUAGAAUGCAAUCUGCCAGAAAAGCCGAGGACAGGUGUAUGAAAACUCCCAUUUGUUUGUUUGCCCAUCCUCUUCCAUUUUCUGCUUCUUCUCCAUCGCAGUGUUUUAUGAAUUUUCGGCAUAUAUAGAAAAAACACGACAGAGAAUUUUAAUUUGGGAGCCAUAUAUUUGUCUCAACUAUAAAAGUAGACUAAAUUUGUGCAACCAUUAAAUAACACAUAGUAUUGAUGUAAAUGAUGUCAUUUGAAAUUCAAGAGCGGCAUGAAACAGCUAAAGAUGUAGAGAAAAAGCUUUUGGAUCUGCAACAGGUUGCUCUAGCGCAUUCUUACUCGAACGUGUCUCAUGUCUCAAUUUGGCAAGACACAGUAUAGCCAUGAUGAUGCUUUACUUUCAUCGGUACAUCGGGAUAAAAAGAAGAGGAUAUUUGGACUUAGGUUGCUAGCAUCGAUAGUGUCACCGGAUCGCAACUCAUCCACUAGUGAUGGUUAUACGUCUAGUGCUCCAACAACUGAGAGUCGGCUAGCGCGCAUGAAGGAACGGUUUGACCCUUUUGAGAAUUACGUCCGACGGAACCGCCACGACCCCGAUGGCGAGUCUGGUGCUCCACCUGUUUGUGGAUUUUCAUACCAAAUAUUUGAACUUUAAUAUUUGACGGAUUUUACUAUUUCAAAUAUACGGUUAUAUUUACUGUUGUUUGUGGUAUCCAUCGAUUAUGAAACCAUGUUUAUA